rnacentral:lncRNA from 1 species
CCCCUUCUCCUCCUCCUCCUUCUCUCAGCCUCUCUCUCACCUCUUUCCAAUGCCUAGUGCUAUCAUCCAUAUCAAUUUUUCUUCUUCUACAGUCACUUGUCUUUACAGCAAAAGACUACUAGGAUGAUGAUAAUGGUAAUGAUGAUGAUGUUGAGGAGAUGGAGAAGGGAAGAAGGAGAAGGAGGAGAGAAAAAAAAAGAGAAAGGAGAUACAUUGCAGAAUCUAUUUUGCAUAUCGUGCACCAACUUCUGCCAGUCAAAAACUUGCUAGAUCUAGUUUUGUUUAGAUAAGAGUCGGGUUCAAAGUGGUGUGGGUGGUUUGAGUGAUGAGCAGUGGUUAUCGUGGAGAUGGAGGGCGUGAAGAAAGCUUAGCAGAUUGGCACCAGAAAGAGAGAAGAGUGGCCGUGGGACGGUGAAGGAGUGAAGUGUGUUGUGUAUCCAUUGAAAGGCAGUGGCGUGGGUUUGACUUGCUCCUCGGCUCAGCACUCGCCCUCAAGAUUACGUCACUAAAGCCCAGUGACAGAUUCCCACAUUAUCUUUCUAGCCUUUGAAAAUCGUCGUGGUGAGAAAGCAACUACUUUCUAAAGGCCUUAUUUGAAGUUACAGGUGUUCUCAAAGGUGUUUCUUGGUUCUAGUGUCAAAUGAACAAGAUCUCCACAUUAUUAAUAGCCUUGACAACCCGGCUAAAUGUCUCUGGUCUUUAUGUCGUUGUGAAAGAGCAAAGCGCCUGUUAGUUAUUGUGAAUGUGACUAAAGGGUUCCGCGGAGCAACUUAUAUACACUGACAAAAAAAAGUAUGAGCUCUAAUACCUUUGCAAGACAGAGACAGAGCUAAGGACUGUACACUAGAUAUAUAAACACAGAAAAAGAGGUGACCCGGACUAAAUGACAAGGACUGAUAACCAUAAGAGAGCCUCCCUAUGUGUCCGGUUCCUCGUUAUCCUCAAUACCUCUGUGGCUUGUGACUGUUCAGAAAGAGGCCGAAAGUGUAGUGUGAGUGAAUGCGUCGUCAGCAAGAUGGUGUCUAUGGGAAAUGGUGGUGUGAUGAAGUGUAGCUAUCAGUGUGCACCUGAACAAAGAAAAUUAAUUCUAAGACUGCUUAAGUGCUUCUGUCAUCCAUAUCAA